AUUGAACGCUGGCGGCAUGCCUUACACAUGCAAGUCGAACGGCAGCACGGAGCUUGCUCUGGUGGCGAGUGGCGAACGGGUGAGUAAUAUAUCGGAACGUACCCUAGAGUGGGGGAUAACGUAGCGAAAGUUACGCUAAUACCGCAUACGAUCUAAGGAUGAAAGUGGGGGAUCGCAAGACCUCAUGCUCGUGGAGCGGCCGAUAUCUGAUUAGCUAGUUGGUAGGGUAAAAGCCUACCAAGGCAUCGAUCAGUAGCUGGUCUGAGAGGACGACCAGCCACACUGGAACUGAGACACGGUCCAGACUCCUACGGGAGGCAGCAGUGGGGAAUUUUGGACAAUGGGCGAAAGCCUGAUCCAGCAAUGCCGCGUGAGUGAAGAAGGCCUUCGGGUUGUAAAGCUCUUUUGUCAGGGAAGAAACGGUGAGAGCUAAUAUCUCUUGCUAAUGACGGUACCUGAAGAAUAAGCACCGGCUAACUACGUGCCAGCAGCCGCGGUAAUACGUAGGGUGCAAGCGUUAAUCGGAAUUACUGGGCGUAAAGCGUGCGCAGGCGGUUUUGUAAGUCUGAUGUGAAAUCCCCGGGCUCAACCUGGGAAUUGCAUUGGAGACUGCAAGGCUAGAAUCUGGCAGAGGGGGGUAGAAUUCCACGUGUAGCAGUGAAAUGCGUGGAUAUGUGGAGGAACACCGAUGGCGAAGGCAGCCCCCUGGGUCAAGAUUGACGCUCAUGCACGAAAGCGUGGGGAGCAAACAGGAUUAGAUACCCUGGUAGUCCACGCCCUAAACGAUGUCUACUAGUUGUCGGGUCUUAAUUGACUUGGUAACGCAGCUAACGCGCGAAGUAGACCGCCUGGGGAGUACGGUCGCAAGAUUAAAGCUCAAAGGAAUUGACGGGGACCCGCACAAGCGGUGGAUGAUGUGGAUUAAUUCGAUGCAACGCGAAAAACCUUACCUACCCUUGACAUGGCUGGAAUCCUCGAGAGAUUGAGGAGUGCUCGAAAGAGAACCAGUACACAGGUGCUGCAUGGCUGUCGUCAGCUCGUGUCGUGAGAUGUUGGGUUAAGUCCCGCAACGAGCGCAACCCUUGUCAUUAGUUGCUACGAAAGGGCACUCUAAUGAGACUGCCGGUGACAAACCGGAGGAAGGUGGGGAUGACGUCAAGUCCUCAUGGCCCUUAUGGGUAGGGCUUCACACGUCAUACAAUGGUACAUACAGAGCGCCGCCAACCCGCGAGGGGGAGCUAAUCGCAGAAAGUGUAUCGUAGUCCGGAUUGUAGUCUGCAACUCGACUGCAUGAAGUUGGAAUCGCUAGUAAUCGCGGAUCAGCAUGUCGCGGUGAAUACGUUCCCGGGUCU
rnacentral:rRNA from 1 species